rnacentral:rRNA from 1 species
AGAACGAACGCUGGCGGCAUGCCUAAUACAUGCAAGUCGAACGAACUCUUCGGAGUUAGUGGCGCACGGGUGCGUAACGCGUGGGAAUCUGCCCCUUGGUUCGGAAUAACAGUUGGAAACGACUGCUAAUACCGGAUGAUGACGAAAGUCCAAAGAUUUAUCGCCAAGGGAUGAGCCCGCGUAGGAUUAGCUAGUUGGUGAGGUAAAGGCUCACCAAGGCAACGAUCCUUAGCUGGUCUGAGAGGAUGAUCAGCCACACUGGGACUGAGACACGGCCCAGACUCCGUACGGGAGGCAGCAGUAGGGAAUAUUGGACAAUGGG